rnacentral:rRNA from 1 species
UGGGGAAUUUUGGACAAUGGGCGAAAGCCUGAUCCAGCCAUGCCGCGUGAGUGAAGAAGGCCUUCGGGUUGUAAAGCUCUUUUAGUCGGAAAGAAAGAGUUGCAAUGAAUAAUUGUGAUUUAUGACGGUACCGACAGAAAAAGCACCGGCUAACUACGUGCCAGCAGCCGCGGUGAUACGUAGGGUGCGAGCGUUAAUCGGAAUUACUGGGCGUAAAGGGUGCGCAGGCGGUCUUGCAAGUCAGAUGUGAAAGCCCCGGGCUUAACCUGGGAAUUGCGUUUGAAACUACAAGGCUAGGGUGCAGCAGAGGGGAGUGGAAUUCCAUGUGUAGCAGUGAAAUGCGUAGAGAUGUGGAAGAACACCGAUGGCGAAGGCAGCUCCCUGGGUUGACACUGACGCUCAUGCACGAAAGCGUGGGGAGCAAACA